GGUUUUCUAUGGGUCCUGCCUUCCCCCCCAGCUGGAGCUACUCUACUUCCCCAAAUCGUGGCUGACCCACAGCGAGCAGUACAGAUGGUUCCAGCUGUGCUACCAAAGCUCCGUGUUCGUGUCUCGUUCCUCGUUGCGCUGCUGCCGCUUCCGACACGUCUGGAUCCUGGCACUAACACAGGGUCUGAUAGCGGCGACGCUGCUGUGGGCCGUGGCUUCUGAUUGGCUGCCGUCCUUUGGCCCCGCCCUCGCCCUUGUCCUAUUGGAGGGGACCGUCGGGGGCGGAGCUUAUGCAAAUGCCUACAGCAACAUCAAUGAGGAGGCCCCGCUCCGUUUCCGGUCUGUGUCUAUUUCCGUUUCCGCUUUGUCCGACUCCAUCGGAAUCGCGGCGGCGGCGGGAGCGGCCAUAGGGGCGCACAGAGCCCUGUGUCACGUGACGUAGGAACAGGAAGUGACGUCAGACAACCCGGAAGUGGCCGCUGUGGAGGAUAAUCCGGAAGUGGGGAAGAAACCGGAAGUUGAGGGAGACCGAAAGUAGGAGUGUGACCGGAUUUCGUUGUGGGAAAACAGGAAGUGACGACAUCGGACAGUGCGGAAGUGGGGGAGGGACCGGAAGUGGUGGAGUAAGCGGAAGUUGUGGUGAUUAAACAGGUAGUUGUGGAGAAACCGGAAGUGGGGGAGAAGAAUCGGAUGUGGUCAUUAAACAGGAAGUUGGGGGAGAGGGACCGGAAGUGGUUGUGAUUAAAGAGGAAGUUGUGGAGAAACCGGAAA